AGAAUGAACGCUAGCGAUAUGCUUAACACAUGCAAGUUGAACGUUGUUUUCGAAUCAGAAUGAGAACAAAGUAGCGAACGGGUGCGUAACACGUGGGAAUCUGCCGAACAGUUUGGGCCAAAUCCCGAAUGAAUAAAAGCUAAAAAGCGCUGUUUGAUGAGCCCACGUAGUAUUAGGUAGUUGGUUAGGUAAAAGCUGACCAAGCCUACGAUGCUUAGCUGGUCUUUUCGGAUGAUCAGCCACACUGGGACUGAGACACGGCCCCAGACUCCUACGGGAGGCAGCAGUGGGGAAUCUUGGACAAUGGGCGAAAGCCUGAUCCGGCAAUAUGGCGUGAGUGAAGAAGGGCAACGCAGCUUGUAAAGCUCUUUCAUCGAGUGUGCGAUUGUGACAAGACUCGAAUAAGAAGCCCCGGCUAACUCCGUGCCAGCAGCCGC
rnacentral:rRNA from 1 species